rnacentral:rRNA from 1 species
CACCACAGCCAUAUCACCCUGCAGCCCAAGUGCAACCUAACUUAACUUAACUUAACUUAACUUAACUUAACUUAACUUAACUUAACUUAACUUAACUUAACUGGUGCUAAACAGGGCUGAGCCUGGUCAGUACCUCAAUGGGAGACCACAUGGGAAAACUAGGUUGCUGUUGAGA